UACGUAGGGGGCAAGCGUUGUCCGGAAUUAUUGGGCGUAAAGAGCGUGUAGGCGGCCAGAUAAGUCCGCUGUGAAAUCUCGAGGCUCAACUUCGAGCUGUCGGUGGAAACUAUCUGGCUAGAGUCCGGAAGAGGAGAAUGGAAUUCCUGGUGUAGCGGUGAAAUGCGCAGAUAUCAGGAAGAACACCCGUGGCGAAGGCGGUUCUCUGGGACGGUACUGACGCUGAGACGCGAAAAGCGUGGGGGGAGCGAACAGG
rnacentral:rRNA from 1 species